CCUACGGGAGGCUGCAGUGAGGAAUAUUGGUCAAUGGACGAGAGUCUGAACCAGCCAAGUAGCGUGAAGGAUGACUGCCCUAUGGGUUGUAAACUUCUUUUAUAUGGGAAUAAAAUGUUCCACGUGUGGGAUUUUGUAUGUACCAUAUGAAUAAGGAUCGGCUAACUCCGUGCCAGCAGCCGCGGUAAUACGGAGGAUCCGAGCGUUAUCCGGAUUUAUUGGGUUUAAAGGGAGCGUAGGUGGAUUGUUAAGUCAGUUGUGAAAGUUUGCGGCUCAACCGUAAAAUUGCAGUUGAAACUGGCAGUCUUGAGUACAGUAGAGGUGGGCGGAAUUCGAGGUGUAGCGGUGAAAUGCUUAGAGAUCACGAAGAACUCCGAUUGCGAAGGCAGUUCACUGGACUGCAACUGACACUGAGGCUCGAAAGUGUGGGUAUCAAACAGGAUUAGAUACCCGAGUAGUC
rnacentral:rRNA from 1 species